UUAGAAAACAAUUAGGAAUACACCUGGGAUGGUUUGACUCUGAUUAAUUAACCGGAGAUGGAGGAAAAAAUCUGAAUAAUUCUGGAAAAAUGGGGAAAAGUAGGGAAAAACGAGAAAAUGAGAAAGACUCACAAAAAUUGAACUGUGUAGUAUUCUUCUGUAUUUUUUCAGCAUCAAAACAUCAUUCUGACACUCUGAAAUUGAAUUACAACCGUAAACUGAUCUUUGCAUUUCAACUUUAAUUGUCAAGGUAUCCGCCUCGGAGAUACUCAUCAUGAGAAUUGAGCAAAGUUUUCUGAGAGUCACCAAGUAUAAACACCCGACGAUUGAAUGAGACGAUUCUUCUGCUCGAUGGCUGAAUAUAUCAGGUUUUCGUUAUCAAAAAUUAUCAAAGGAAGGAUUGAGUGGAAUUCAAUAAUUAUUACUAUGUAUCAUCUUUGAUUCGAUAGAUCAGCAUCUGUUCAGAAUAUCUGAACCGUAUAUGCCACAGAUUGUACUCCCUACA
rnacentral:misc_RNA from 1 species